CUGAACACACCAGCAGCACAAUGAUGAUGUCACUGACUCUACUGCUGACCACCCUGGGGCUCCUUGUUCAGGGUUCAUCAGGACAAAUCAGUCUGGUUCAGACUCCUGGAGCUCAGUCUGUUACUCCAGGACAGACUGUCUCCAUUAAAUGUAAAGUUAGUCCAAGUCCAAGUUAUUGCUUCAACUGGUACCUUCAGAAGCCAGGAGAAUCUCCCAAACUUCUUAUUUCUUGUACUAACAGUCGUGAAUCUGGAGUUUCUGAUCGUUUCAGUGGAACAAGCUCUGGGAGCGACUUCACUCUGACCAUCAGCAGAGUUCAGGCUGAAGAUGCUGCAGAUUAUUACUGUCAGACUGGACACGUUAUCAGUAGCCAAGCUGUGUUCACACAGUGGAAAACACUCGUACAAAAACCUCCCUCAGCCAGUCAGACUGAACAGAAACUGAUGUGGUUCAUUGAAGCCACACAAUAAACCUUAUACAGCUUUAAACAGUGUUAAUAUAAACAGCUCAGUACAGAACACUACAGUACAGUCACAU